GCCGGGCGUGGUGGUGUGUGCCUGUAAUCCCAGCUACAUGGGAGGCUGAGGCAGGAGAAUCGCUUGAACCCAGGAGGUGGAUGUUGCAGUGAGCUGAGAUUGCACCACUGCACUCCAGCCUGGGUGACAAAGCGAAACUCCGUCUCCA
ensembl:misc_RNA Metazoa_SRP Metazoan signal recognition particle RNA